rnacentral:rRNA from 1 species
CCUUGGGGAGAAGGCUAGGCCAGCGCGGCGUUGGUUGUCCGCGUUCAAGCGAGUAGGGAGAUCUCUUAGGUAAAUCCGGGGGGUCAAUUCCGAGACGCGAUAACGAGCUGUCAAGGCUUCGGUCUGACGGUGUAGUGGUUGAUGCCAUGCUUCCAGGAAAAGCCUCUAAGCUUCAGGUAACAAGGGACCGUACCCCAAACCGACACAGGUGGUCAGGUAGAGAAUACCAAGGCGCUUGAGAGAACUCGGGUGAAGGAACUAGGCAAAAUGUACCGUAACUUCGGGAGAAGGUACGCCGCUUGGGGUGAUCGGACUUGCUCCGUGAGCUCCGGGCGGUCGAAGUGACCAGGUGGCUGCGACUGUUUAUUAAAAACACAGCACUCUGCAAACACGAAAGUGGACGUAUAGGGUGUGACGCCUGCCCGGUGCCGGAAGGUUAAUUGAUGGGGUCAGCCGCAAGGCGAAGCUCUUGAUCGAAGCCCCGGUAAACGGCGGCCGUAACUAUAACGGUCCUAAGGUAGCGAAAUUCCUUGUCGGGUAAGUUCCGACCUGCACGAAUGGCGUAACGAUGGCCACACUGUCUCCACCCGAGACUCAGUGAAAUUGAACUCGCUGUGAAGAUGCAGUGUACCCGCGGCUAGACGGAAAGACCCCGUGAACCUUUACUACAGCUUUGCACUGGACUCUGAAUCUGUUUGUGUAGGAUAGGUGGGAGGCUAUGAAGCCGGAACGCUAGUUCUGGUGGAGCCAACCUUGAAAUACCACCCUGACAUAUUUGGGGUUCUAACCCAGGCCCGUUAUCCGGGUCGGGGACAGUGUAUGGUGGGUAGUUUGACUGGGGCGGUCUCCUCCCAAAGAGUAACGGAGGAGCACGAAGGUACCCUCAGCGUGGUCGGAAAUCACGCUUUUGAGUGCAAAGGCAUAAGGGUGCUUGACUGCGAGAGCGACGGCUCGAGCAGGUGCGAAAGCAGGUCUUAGUGAUCCGGUGGUUCUGAAUGGAAGGGCCAUCGCUCAACGGAUAAAAGGUACUCCGGGGAUAACAGGCUGAUACCGCCCAAGAGUUCAUAUCGACGGCGGUGUUUGGCACCUCGAUGUCGGCUCAUCACAUCCUGGGGCUGAAGCCGGUCCCAAGGGUAUGGCUGUUCGCCAUUUAAAGUGGUACGCGAGCUGGGUUUAGAACGUCGUGAGACAGUUCGGUCCCUAUCUGCCGUGGGCGUUGGAGAUUUGAGGAAAGCUGCUCCUAGUACGAGAGGACCGGAGUGGACGAACCUCUGGUGUUCGGGUUGUCACGCCAGUGGCAUUGCCCGGUAGCUACGUUCGGACGGGAUAACCGCUGAAAGCAUCUAAGCGGGAAGCCUCUUCCAAGAUGAGAUCUCCCCGGGGACUCGAUCCCCCUGAAGGGUUGUUCAAGACCAGGACGUUGAUAGGUGGGGCGUGUAAGCGCUGUGAGGCGUUGAGCUAACCCAUACUAAUUGCCCGUGCGGCUU